GGAACUGUUGACAGUCCAUGGAACUGGGGCAUUAACUCUUUAACUCCCAGUGCACUACAUGAUAUCAUGAUGUGGAAUACUGAAAACAAAAAUCGUAAAGCCAUGACAGUGGACGAACACAUUCUUCUGUCUUGGGCAGCAUUUGUCUUCUAGUGUACAAAACUAAAGUUCAUUUGUUGGAUGAUGUAUUGGUCUGGGACUCAUAAGAUUCUAAGAAACGUAACGCGAUUCUUAUUGUAUUUGUUCCUCCCACUCAUUUCACUUCUAAUAUGAUCAUUAUGAACUCCUUUGUGCUUCUCUUAUGGCUACCAAGAAUGUAGCUGUUUCUACAUGUAAUUUUUACCCUCAAGAAUGUAUAUGCGUGUUUCUCAUCAGAGAUGGGGGAGGGGUGUAACAAACACAACUUCUCAGAGAAUUGAUGGGUUUUUAGCCAUCCAUGGGAAGACACUGUGGAAGUUAGCAUGGGGUAGAUUUAAUGGAUGUUUCCAGGCUGGAGUCAGGCUUCUUCCUGAUUCCUAAGUUGCAGUAUUUAUUACAUCAGCCUGGAACAGACUGCCCAGGGAUGUGGUGGAGUCACACUCCCUGGAGGUUUUCAAGGAAAGGAUAGAUGGGACACUCAGGGACAUGGUCUAGAGAAGUCACAGGCAUGGGUUGAGAGUUGGACUAGAUGAUCCUUAGUGGCAUUUUCCAACCUCAAUGAUUAUAUGAUUCUAUGAUUUUCAGUCCCAAAACCAUGACCACCUCACUUCCUGCACACUCAAGUGUUUUUCUGGAAGGAAACACCCCCACUAAUCCAAAGGGUGAAACCCAGCCAGGGGAUCAAGCCCUCUUCUGAAAGAUUUGCUGUAUCUGUGCACUUACUUUUGUCAUGCUCCUAACCCAUACUUCUGCAGCUAAGAUUGCACUGUAAAUACAGAUAGAGCCUUCUUGCAGGCUAUUAGCUUAAAGUUAGGUAGCAUUUGCUGUUUUAGAAAUAUCCUAUGAGAGGUAACUGAGGUCUCUUGUCAGGAUGAGAGUCUGCAGCCUGAACUGAAAUAAUAUCUUUACUGCAGCUCUAAAAAAUGCAUUAAAGGAAGUAGAGAUGAUGUUUUAACGAUAACAUUUAUAAAACAUCAAGGAUGGCUUGUGAAGGAACGCAUGGUUUUCAAGUGCUAAUUGAAGAAAGGCCUGCAAGCGGUGCAAGUGGUGCAUAUUUGCCAGGUUUUGGCAAAUUAGUAUUUUAUUUCAAGACUCUCUCAGUGAACUAUAGAACUCAGGGAAAAAUAAUUAAGGCCCUCUCUGGUUCAUGCUACGUGAAUUUUGUGAAUACUUAACAUUUUGUCAUUUGGUUAAGUCCCCAUUUCCUAACUGAUCUUUUUCUCAUAGUUACCCAAAAAUCAGGUUCUCACAUCCAGCAAAAGAUCUGAAAGGGCUCAUCCAAAACCACUGCCGUGAAGAGAAAAAGACUUAUUUUCCUCUGAGGACCUCUCAGACCUGUCAGGGAGACAGAAGAACUGUAAAGAACAAAAUUGUAUUUGGUUCUUUUUUUCUUCAUCCCUUUUUUUGUCUGGUCAGGACCCUGAUCUUCCCAAAGGGGAAAGGUAUAAGAAACAUUGGCAAGCACCUCUUAACCAACAUUAUUCCUGGAAAAGGCAUCUUGUUGUAAAGCUAAAUCCAUUCUCUUUCAAUUCAGACCUCAGGCAUUCUGCUCAGGCCACAGUGGCCACAAAUUCAAAUCUUCUCUCAAACCUGAAGGCAAUUGGAUCUAGCCAUCCUGUUCUCACAGAGUAUGUGUCCAAGCCACAAAUCUGCACAUAAUGUGCUCCCAAAGUUCAGCCCUAUGCUGGGAGGUACAGAGAGUAAGCUGAAAUUGUACUUUAACUUCUCUUUCACUGUUUAAGAAGAAAGUUUCAUUUUCAAAGAAGACAUUUAUCUGAAAAGCGAAUUUGGAACCUUGAAUCCACUUCUUGUUGAUGGUAUGACCUCACCUGGAGUACAUCCUCCAGAUGUGGAGUCCUCAGUACAGGAGAGAUGUGGACUUGUUGGAGCACGUUCAGAGGAGGGACAUGUGUCAAAGGUCUUACUGCAGUCCAGAUAGAUGACAUCAGUAGCUCUUCCCUUGUCCACUGAUGCAAUGACACCAUCAUAGAAGGCCACUAGGUUAAUCAAGCAGGAUUUGCCCUUGGUGAAGCCAUGCUGGUUCUCCUGUAUUGCCUCCCUGCCUUCCAUGUGCCUUAGCAUUGCUUCCAGGAGGAUCUGUUCCAUGAUCUUCCCUGGCACAGAGGUGAGACUGACAGGUCGGUAGUUCCCAGGAUCUUCCUUUUUACCCUUUUUAAAGAUGGAUAUGAUGUUUCCUUUUUUCCAGUCACCAGGGACUUCAUUUGAUUGCCACAACUUUUCAAGUAUCUUAGAGAGUGUCUUGGCAACCACAUCAGCCAAUUCCCUCAGGACUGUGGGAUGCAUCUCAACAGGACCCACAGACUUGUGGAUGUUCAGGUUUCUCAGGUGGUCAUGAACCUGAUCUUCACUUACUGUGGGAGGGACUUUGCUUCCCUGAUCUCCUCCUACCAAACCAAAUGUUUGAGAACUGUGUGGUGAGAAGUUAUCAGGGAAGACCAUGGUAAAAAAAUAAUAAUAAUAAUAAUAAUUACCUCGGCCUUCUCCUUGUCUGUUGUUACCAGCCUGCCUGUGUCACUCACUAGGGGAGGAUAUGCCCUCCUGGUCUUUCCUUUUCUGGUUGAGGUACCUGUAGAAGCCUUUCUUGUUCUUUUUGGCAUCACUAGCCAAGUUCAGUUCAAGCUGUGCCUUGGCUUUCUUGACCCCAUCCAUACACAGAGUCUAGCAGCUUCCUUACAGUCUUCCCACAGUACCUGUCCCUGUUUCUACUGCCUGUGCAUUUUCUUCUUGCUCUUCAUUUGGACCAGCAGGUCCCAGUUCAGCCAUGCCGGUCACUUGCCUUCCUUUCCUGACUUGCUUCACCUGGGGAUGGAGAGCUUUGUGCCCUGAAGAAACCCCCCUGAAAGAUCUACCAGCUCUGCUCCGCACCCCUGCCCAUGAGGACAGUCCCAGGGCAUUUUGUUGACUAACUCCCUGAAGAGCUGAAAGUUAGCUUUCCUAAAGUUCAGCUUCUUAAUUUUACUCUUCACCUGUCCCAUGUCCCUCUGGAGCAUGACUUCAACCAUAGCAUGGUCACUACAGCCCGGGCAGUCUCCAAUCCUGAUAUCAACAAUCAGUUCAUUUGCACUGGUGAGCAAUAGGUCCAGUAUUACAUUCCCCUUGGUGGGGCUGCCAACUACUUGACUCAGGAAGUUAUCCUCAAUGCAUUCCAGGAGCCUUCUGGAUUGCCUACAGCUCACUGUGCUACUUUUCCAGCAGAUGGUGGCUCGAGUCCAGCAUUAGAUAUGGAGGUUGGCAGCCCUGCCUGUAGCAGGGGGUUGGAGCUUGAUGACCCUUGAGGUCUCUUCCAACCCAAGCCAUUCUAUGAUUCUAUGAUAUGAAGUUCCCCCAGCAGGAUAAGCACUUACAAUCCCAAAAUCUCACGUAGCUGGAGGGAGACAGGCUCUGACUGAUCUGGUGGCCUGUAGUAGACACCAACCACAAGGCUCCCUUUGCUGCCUCAGUCUCUAAUUGUCACCCAUUGGCUCUUGACUUGCUCAUGACUGUUCUUUAGGGAUAACUUCACAUUCUAUUCCUUUCUUGAUGUAGAUAGGAACACCCCCACCUCUCCUUCCUCACCUGUUCCUUCUGAACAGCUUGUAGCCAUUGAUAACCACACUCUAGUCAAGGGAAUCAUCCCAACAGGUUUCGGUGAUGACAACUAUAUCAUAGUUUUCAAGCAGCACAGUAGCUUCUAGUUCCUCCUGUUUGUUUCCCAAGCCGCAUGCAUUGGUGUAGAGUCACUUCAUCUGGGCAGCUGGUCUUGUCACUUCCUUAAAAGGUAACUUCUUAGUUCCUUCUAGCUAUUUUCCUUGAAUUUCCCCAUUGCUUUCUCCUGUUGCCCCAGCAGUCACAGCCUCACUAUCAUAGAGUUUUGUAUGUGCUGCAGUGUUGCCAGUAUCCUAUUGGAAGGAACACUCGGGAAAUCCAAAGCACUGCCUCCGGUUAUGCUUAUGUAAGUACUUGUACUCCAGUUAGGUAAUCUUUGGCUGUCCCCCCUCAUUUCAGUGCUAAAGUCAAUUCAAAAAAUCCCAGCCUCUCUGCAGUUCAUCACCCUCAUCAGUUGUGCCGGGUUUUAGAAGUUUCUCUAUAUGCAUAAUCGGCAAAAUGGUCUGAAUUAAAGGUACACCCAAUCAUGCUGG
ensembl:lncRNA